UGGGACAGCUGUGGAGACAGCCCGCUUUCCCGGCAUGCCCCGGGGCGGCGGGGUUGGCUCUAACGAAUUUGAAUGAGGAGCCUCAGCGCUUUCGGCGCCAUUUUCGAGUGAUGCCUGAUCUCAUCAAUCUAGCGGGAGGGAAGGGAUAACCUGUCCGAGAGUAGCGCGACGCUAGGAUCGCGCCGGAAAAUCCCCCAAAAAUCAUCAAAAAAAUAACUUAGACCAAAGGACAGUCGGUGGGGCUUCGCCAGAUCCGGCGCCAUCGUCCUUGAAACGCAGCGUCUCAAGGAAAAGUAGCGUGGAACUUGAUGUUUCCUGCCGACAAGCCUUUGCACCUACGAUUUAACGAUUUUAACCUUUAGAAGAGAGCCAGUUGUGGAAAACAACCAGUUUUUUGAUCGAAUACCCACGUAAUACAUUGGAAUAUGAUAGGAGAUUAAGGUUUAACAAUGAUAAAAUGAAGAUAUUACUAAAACAGCCCUCUAAGUAGCCCAACAAUUAUUAUUUUUGCUAGAGAUGAGAACCAGAACCAUACAAGGUCCAAGACGAGCACUUUCUCUGUGCAUAUGGAUGUCCUAGAAGUUGUGGCAUAAUGGUAUUAAUAUGCUAGACGUACUGAAUUGAA